rnacentral:snoRNA from 1 species
UCUGCACAUUGUUGGAGCUUGGAAUUGAGGCCUCUGGCUGGCCGAUGAGCUCACAAGUGUAGGCUGUGUGCUAUAAGUCUUUUACUAACACCACAAGGAUCUCUGGCCCGGUGAAUGGAGUUCAAUAGUAAUUCUUGCUACAAGU